UUAACGUAAAACACCAAUCAUAUCGUUGUAGUAUUUUAGGUUGUCAAUCCAAAUGGGUGUAAUGCUAACAAUCAAGAUGUGAUCAGAAGUCACUAAGUCAAGCCAAGCAAUAACAGGUUUUGGUGUGUUCUAGCAGUCCUAAGUGAACAUGUAGAAAGCAGAAAAUCAAGCAGAAACAAAUAAACACUCGACCAACACAGCUCUUUGCAGAGCACUGGGUGUGGUCGAGUGACAGGUCGAGUGACAGGUUGAGUAACAGACAGUAAGUAUAACACAGAUACUCGACUGCACAGUCUGUUGUCAGAUAACUGGGUGGUCGAGUAUCAGUAAAGAAUUGCAGAAACUAAGCAACAGGUAACAAGAUGCAUUAAACAACAACAAAGUAAACAAUAAAAUCAAUCAGAUAAAGAAUUCCCGAGGAUGGGGUAAUUGAGUAGUUUCGUUUCCUCAGUUUACAGGUGAUUGACAUGCUCAAUAAAUUAUCCUUAGACAACAAGUUCAUUAACCAAAUCUAAGUGCCACCGCAAAAGAGACCCUCAAGUUAACCUAGUCCCAGACUCAAUCACCAUUGACGAGAGCUAACCUAACAGGCAUUACGAAUCAACAAGUUAAAGCCAAAACGCUCCCUGCAAGCAAUACCUUGGUAUAGGG
rnacentral:sRNA from 1 species